rnacentral:rRNA from 1 species
UACUAACCAGGCCCAACGUUGCUUAACUUGACAGAUCGGACGAGAUGUCGUGCUUUCAACGUGGUAUGGUCGUAGAC